rnacentral:rRNA from 1 species
GAUGAACGCUGGCGGCGUGCCUAACACAUGCAAGUCGAACGGAGAUUACGGACGGAAGUUUUCGGAUGGAAGCCUGUAAUUCUUAGUGGCGGACGGGUGAGUAACGCGUGGGCAACCUGCCCUAUACAGGGGGAUAGCAGCUGGAAACGGCUGGUAAGACCGCAUAAGUCGGUUAAAUCGCAUGAUUUGAUCGGGAAAUGAGCAAUCAGGUAUAGGAUGGGCCCGCGUCCGAUUAGCCAGUUGGCAGGGUAAAAGCCUACCAAAGCGACGAUCGGUAGCCGGACCGAGAGGUCGGACGGCCACAUUGGGACUGAGACACGGCCCAAACUCCUACGGGAGGCAGCAGUGGGGGAUAUUGCACAAUGGAGGAAACCCUGAUGCAGCGACGCCGCGUGAGUGAAGAAGUAUUUCGGUAUGUAAAGCUCUAUCAGCAGGGAAGAUGAUGACGGUACCUGACUAAGAAGCCCCGGCUAACUACGUG